CAGCACCCUUGGACCCUAGAGCAACAGAGGAAAUCGCAUGUCUUUCUUGUCGAACACGUUAUCCAAAAAGCUACACUAAAAGCUUACUCGAUGACCAUGGAAGAAAUCUUCUACGCAAGGGCUUGUUUACUGAGCUUACAUAUAUGUGUCUGAGUCUUUCUCCUCUUCCUUCCACCAAUAAAUACAAUACCACUGUGAAAGUUGGCAUGACUGACUGCAUUUCUGCUGUACCAUCAGUGCACUUAGCAUGGAACUGGCUGAGCUAAGAGUCAAUGGUACUGAGAGUUUGGACUGAAAUAUUUCAUUCGAGAGACAAGCGAUGUACUUAAGUAAACAAAGGAGGACCCACGAGAGACAGCAGUCACUCUCUCUGCAUCCUGCUCUGUGAGCAUCUCUGUUCCAUCACAAGACUGAGUGAAAACUGAGACAAGCCAGAAAAUGUUGAAUGUUUCUUGGUCUCGGAAGCCACCACUCUUUCAUUUGAUAUUGAACCUUCCAGUGGAGUCAGGACUGUCUUCAUGAAGCGUAUUUCUGCCAUUUACAGCAGACACAGACCUCCAUCACCGUCUCUGACAACCAGCUGCAUGUGCACAUUCAGAGCACAGUACAGGAACGAGGACCAGAUUACCUUCACCAACGACAGAGCUCUCUUGCUCAUGGAUGACAGUGAGUCCAGUGGGCCAGGUGACUGAGGCAUACACGGGUCCAGAUGAGAAUCAGACAGUUCCAAGAGUUCUCUGGAAUCGUGUAUGUUCCGUGUGAUAGCAAGAGUUGAUAAGACUGCUUCAGGACAACAUCACUGAGGAGGACAAGAGAAGACUCUUGCCAAGUGUGAUGGGAUUAUCAGUUGAUUGUAUGGAAAUCUGAUUGCAGUGAAGAAGGAAUGUAAUUAGUAGCAGCGGCAGCAGCAACUGAGGGGAACAGGCUAUCCUUGGGUGUUGGUGAUAUACCAGGCAGAAUGCCUGGGGCCCUGAGCUUCCCUCUUGGGGGAGCUCCCCUAUGGUGGUGCUUUAGGGCCCGCUAUGGUACAGGAUAUUUAAGUUAAUCUAAUUAGAGAUAUAGUAUUCUUCUGGAGGAAGACAUUUGGUGGACUUCAGUCCACCAAGUUUUGGGCAGUUGAGCUCUUAAAAUAAUUUCCAGGGCACUCUCGGUCUUUGAAUACUGACCAUGUGUACAGGGAAAAGAAUGCUGCAUUCUGUAAGCUUUGAAUCAUAUAUAGAAAAUGUAAUAUCUUAAAUAAAAUUGUUUAAAGUCUGCACCCAAAUGUGGACAUUUAAAGUGUA